AGUUCUUUGACAGAGACUCAGCCGUCGUUUGCUCAUCAAACUCUAAUAGAGACGCAUCCUUUGCCUUUUUCGCGCCGCCUCGAUCAAUCGUCGCCCAAAACUCAGACUGGCUUGCGGCCUCACGCCGCCUCCAACCGCAAAAGCAAACCUAUCAAAGAAGAAACGAAUUUUGAGUGAUGCACAUUGAUGAAGUGAAAGAGGAAUAAGGUUGAAUCAGAGAGAGAGAGAGAGAGAGUCAAUAAUCGAAAAAACAUGCAUGACCACAAAUAUUGAAUCGAGUAAUUUCAUGAAACUGAAGCCCGAUAUUGGAGAUGGGACGUCUUCUUCAAAACCAAGAAUUGAUCCAUCUGCAUCGAAGAAGAAAUUUUAUUAUGGGAUCAAUCAGGAAUCCUGCAACUGAUUCCAAAAAUAGAUUCAUUUUCUGUGGAGGCUCCAAAAUGACGAAGAAAGCAUCCACCCAAACGAUGGAUGAUAAGUAAAUCGUGAAUAGAACCAGAGAGAAGAAAGUGUGUUCGUUGCCUGGCCAGAAAUUUGAUGUCCCCGAAGAGCGGGAGGCAUUGAGAAUAUUUUAGGAAUCAUUAUCCAAACAAAUUUCAAGUGAAAUGGCUGAAUUUUGGUUGAUCGAACACAUCGUGUUGUCACCUAAGAGAGCGAGUUGGAAGAUGAUAGAGGACUUAGAGACCAAAUUUAUGGAAGCUAAUCACAGGUACAUAGAGCAACUAUGUUUUUAAUUAUUGAGCUAUUCUUUUGUUUGCGUAUAUUUACUCAAAUAUCUCUGAUUUAGAGUUUUUAGACUUAAAUAUGUUUGAAAUCUUAAUUUUCGUUGAUCCAAGAUAUUAAUUCAUUUGCUUA